AUUGAACGCUGGCGGCAGGCUUAACACAUGCAAGUCGAGCGGGGUGAUGGUGCUUGCACUAUCACUUAGCGGCGGACGGGUGAGUAAUGCUUAGGAAUCUGCCUAUUAGUGGGGGACAACAUCUCGAAAGGGAUGCUAAUACCGCAUACGUCCUACGGGAGAAAGCAGGGGAUCAUUUGUGACCUUGCGCUAAUAGAUGAGCCUAAGUCGGAUUAGCUAGUUGGUGGGGUAAAGGCCUACCAAGGCGACGAUCUGUAGCGGGUCUGAGAGGAUGGUCCGCCACACUGGGACUGAGACACGGCCCAGACUCCUACGGGAGGCAGCAGUGGGGAAUAUUGGACAAUGGGGGGAACCCUGAUCUAGCCAUGCCGCGUGUGUGAAGAAGGCCUUAUGGUUGUAAAGCACUUUAAGCGAGGAGGAGGCUCUUUUGGUUAAUACCCAAGAUGAGUGGACGUUACUCGCAGAAUAAGCACCGGCUAACUCUGUGCCAGCAGCCGCAGUAA
rnacentral:rRNA from 1 species